CUUGGUCUCAUGUUUUGCAUAAGAAAUCCUGAAUUUUGUUUCUCUAUGUAUUUAAGCCUUUCCACUAGAUCUUUCUCUUGCGCUCUUCUUACCUAGAACCCUAUAUUUUCUUCUUUUUCUUUCCCAUCUCGUGCUACUUCUCGGGAUGCGCGCUCUCAGACCGCGCGUAUAAUUGCGCAUAGGUGACAGUGGUUUGGCAAGUGCGAAAAGGUAGAAAAGAGAUAUGGAAAACUUUUAGAAAUGAUUUUUUUUCUUUUUUCCCAAAAGACAGAUGAGAAAGAAAAAUGGAGCAUUCUUGAAGAUGCUCUUAGAACUCUCCCCACCGAAAAUUUUUUCCUGGCUCCAUCAUUGCCAUAUGCUCAGAAAUCAAUUUGGACAAACCUGAUGGAACUGUAGAUGCGCCGAUGGAACUACUAGAUGAAGUGUAUCAUAUGGAAUCUCACUUCGGUCCAGUUGGAGAUAGUAUUAGUUUUGGUGCAAGAUAGUUGCAUGGUUUGUGCCCAGUGCACCAUAGGCUCAGAAACUGUUGUGGAAGUUCCCGAUGGUACUCCUAGGUGAAGAGGCUCAAGUGAAAGCUCAGUUCGGUCUGUUUGGAGAUAGUGCUAAUCUUGAUGAAAGAUAGGUGUACAGUUUGCAUGGAACGUACCAUAUUCUUAUAAAUAAAUUUGGACGCACCCAAUAGAACUCCUAGAUCAUGUGUGUUAUAUGGAAUCUCGCUUCAAUCUGUUUGGAGACAGUCUUAGUUUAGGUGCAAGAUUGGUGCAUGGUUUGCGCAUAAUGCAACAUAGGCUUAGAAACCAUUAUGGAAGCACCCGAUGAUAAUCCUAGGUGAAGAGGCUCAAGUGGAAGAUCGAUUCGAUCUGUUUGGAGAUAGUGCUAAUCUUGAUGCCAGAUAAGUGCACUGAUUGCAUGGAACAUACCAUAUGGCAAGAAAUCCAUUUGGACGCACCCCAAUAAAACUCCUAAAAGACAUGUGUCAUAUGGAAUNNNNNNNNNNNNNNNNNNNNNNNNNNNNNNNNNNNNNNNNNNNNNNNNNNNNNNNNNNNNNNNNNNNNNNNNNNNNNNNNNNNNNNNNNNNNNNNNNNNNAAACUGAUGGUCAAACUGAAGUUGUUAAUAGAACUUUAUCCACUAUGUUAAGGGCUGUUUUAAAGAAGAAUAUUAAGAUGUGGGAAGAAUGUUUGCCUCAUAUUGAGUUCGCCUAUAAUCGUUCAUUGUAUUCUACUACAAAAAUGUGUCCUUUUGAGAUUGUCUAUGGCUUCUUGCCACGUGCUCCUAUUGAUUUAAUGCCUUUGCCAAGUUCUGAAAAAAUAAAUUUUGAUGCUAAGCAACGUGCUGAAUUGAUGUUAAAAUUGCAUGAAGCCACUAAACAAAACAUAGAGCGCAUGAAUGCUAAGUACAAAUGCGCUGGAGAUAAAGGUAGAAAGCAAUUGAUUCUGGAACCUGGGGAUUUGGUUUGGUUGCAUUUGCGAAAAGAUAGAUUUCCAGAACUGAGAAAAUUCAAAUUGAUGCCUAGAGCUGAUGGUCCUUUUAAAGUGCUUCAACGAAUUAAUGAGAAUGCAUAUAAGCUUGAUCUUCCUGCAGAUUUUGGGGUUAGUCCCACAUUUAACAUUGCAGAUUUGAAGCCUUAUUUGGGUGAGGAAGAUGAGCUUGAGUCGAGGACGACUCAAAUGCAAGAAGGGGAGGAUGAUGAGGACAUCAACACCAGCGAUACAUCCUCUCCUACAUCCUCUCCGACACAACCUAUAGCUGGUCCUACAUCUCCGACACAACCUAUAGCUGGUCCUACAUCCUCUCCGACACAACCUAUAGCUGGUCCUCUUACUCGUGCUCGUGCCCGUCAACUCAACCUUCAAGUAAGUUCAGUUUUAAACUCUUGUCAAUCAUAUUUAGACAAUGGAGACACGUGCACUUUCGUGUUGCUCAGGAAUAAUGGACAAGAUCAGCAAGGGAAGGUUCAACUGCAUUCAGAAUUUGAGGCAACACCAACUUCAAGGGCUGAUUGCAUAUGGGAAGAGUGAUAACUUAACAAAAGUGAUUGGAGAUCAGGUCCAGCCUCCACAACAUCCUCUAUCAAGUUACCACGUCGCUUCUAAAGCAAGGAAACAAAGAGUCCAAACCCAACACGUUUUGGGAGUUGGAUUCGGACUGGAAAAUAACUCUAACUUGUAUGGAUCACCACGGCGUCAUAUGGACUCCAACUGGGACGUUCCUAUACUUGUUGGAAAGCUCAUGAAGUCUAUUUUCCAAUGGGUCCAACCACAUAUGUAUGCAGCUUAUGAGUCGGGCGCAGUCCUUGUUUUCGUGCCGACACCUUUUUCUGUUUUGGUGCUGCGUCACCCUAUUUUGGACCAAUGGCCCAUGUAUCAAGUUGAGUCCAUUAGGGAUGCGUCCUAGGGUUGGAGGACGACUCUAGCACCCCUUUGGUCGUCCUCCCCUCUAUUUAUUUACAUCUAGAGCCGCCAUGAACAACUGGGUUUUGUUUAGAUCAAGUUUAGCCUUCGCUACUUGCUUGUAGGCGCGCGUGCAGGAUCAGCCGCCCGUCUCCUUGUCUUCGGAACCCCAUUGUUGAUUCAGAUUCAGUUUGAAACCUUCAAUUCAUCUUGCAAAUUCAGUGCUUGUUUCCUCGUUCUUGCUAGUUCUUCGAUUGCUUGCAGGACGGGAGCCCUAGGGGCUGGUUGUCGCGCUCCACAAGAUCGUGACGGCUGUUGGACGUGGUGUAUCGGUUGCUAAGGCGCGGUCUUGAGGGCUGUAGUCGGGCCGUGAACAUCAUCUCCAUCCACUAAUCGAGUUAUCCAGCGCCUCUCAUCGAAAGAUCAGGCCAAAAACCCUAGCGGGUUCGCAUCAAUUUGGUCCACACGUUUUUCAGUUUAUUUCCUAGUUAGAGUAUCUCCAAGAAUUCCCCAUAUUUUGUUUCUCGAAAUAUGGUAUUUGCCAACUCACAAAUUAGUAUAGGGAGGAAAAAAAGAGGUCAUCUCCAAAAUUUUCCUAUAUUUUUAUCAAAGUUUUUUCUCUGCACUUUCCUUUUCCACAACUUGGUCUCAUGUUUUGCAUAAGAAAUCCUGAAUUUUGUUUCUCUAUGUAUUUAAGCCUUUCCACUAGAUCUUUCUCUUGCGCUCUUCUUACCUAGAACCCUAUAUUUUCUUCUUUUUCUUUCCCAUCUCGUGCUACUUCUCGGGAUGCGCGCUCUCAGACCGCGCGUAUAAUUGCGCAUAGGUGACAGUGGUUUGGCAAGUGCGAAAAGGUAGAAAAGAGAUAUGGAAAACUUUUAGAAAUGAUUUUUUUUCUUUUUUCCCAAAAGACAGAUGAGAAAGAAAAAUGGAGCAUUCUUGAAGAUGCUCUUAGAACUCUCCCCACCGAAAAUUUUUUCCUGGCUCCAUCAUUGCCAUAUGCUCAGAAAUCAAUUUGGACAAACCUGAUGGAACUGUAGAUGCGCCGAUGGAACUACUAGAUGAAGUGUAUCAUAUGGAAUCUCACUUCGGUCCAGUUGGAGAUAGUAUUAGUUUUGGUGCAAGAUAGUUGCAUGGUUUGUGCCCAGUGCACCAUAGGCUCAGAAACUGUUGUGGAAGUUCCCGAUGGUACUCCUAGGUGAAGAGGCUCAAGUGAAAGCUCAGUUCGGUCUGUUUGGA
rnacentral:lncRNA from 1 species